AACGAACGCUGGCGGCAUGCCUAACACAUGCAAGUCGAACGAGACCUUCGGGUCUAGUUGCGCACGGGUGCGUAACGCGUGGGAACCUGCCCUUAGGUUCGGAAUAACUCCCCGAAAGGGGUGCUAAUACCGGAUAAUGUCUGCGGACCAAAGAUUUAUCGCCUUUGGAUGGGCCCGCGUUGGAUUAGCUAGUUGGUAGGGUAAAAGCCUACCAAGGCGACGAUCCAUAGCUGGUCUGAGAGGAUGAUCAGCCACACUGGGACUGAGACACGGCCCAGACUCCUACGGGAGGCAGCAGUGGGGAAUAUUGGACAAUGGGCGAAAGCCUGAUCCAGCAAUGCCGCGUGAGUGAUGAAGGCCUUAGGGUUGUAAAGCUCUUUUACCCGGGAUGAUAAUGACAGUACCGGGAGAAUAAGCUCCGGCUAACUCCGUG
rnacentral:rRNA from 1 species